rnacentral:lncRNA from 1 species
AAAUAUGAGAAGAAGAGAGAAAUCUCCUGUAAGAAGAAUUCCAGGUAAUUUAUGUAGACAUUCUACCCUCAAGGAGAGGGAGCCUAGUGAGGGCUGCAUCAGUGACUUCCUUCCAAAGGGUAUGGAAAGGGAGUUAAACAAAAGAAAAAGAAAAAGAAGACUUUAUAACGUAGGAACCUGUAAAACGCGACCUCAAGCCAGGUGUUAUAGUUGGAUAUUUGUACCCUCAAACUACAAGUUGAAAUUUGAUGCCCAGUGUUGAAAGUAGGGGCCUAAUGGGAAGUAUUUGGGUCAUGGGGUUAGAUCCCUCAUGAAUAGAUUAAUGCCCUCCCUGUGUGUUGGGGAAUAAGUAAGUUCUCAUUCUUAUUAGUUCCCAUGAGAGCUGGUUGUUAAAAAAAGCCUGACACCUUUCCUCUGCUUUGCUUCCUCUCUUAUCCUGUGAUCUCUGCACAUGCCAGCUCCCCUUCCCUUUCUACCAUGAGUGGAAGCAACUGGAGAUCCUCACUGGAUGCAGAUGCUGACACCAUGCCUGCAGAACCAUAAGCCAAAUAAAUCUCUUGUCUUUAUAAAUUACCCAGCCUUAGGUAUUCCUUUAUAGUACUCUAAAUGGAGUAAGACACCAGAUGAUCCAGGUUAACAUCAACCAUGGUUAAUCAUGUUGAUAUUAUGUACCCUUGACAUGAUGUGAUGAAAAUGGCAUUUUGCUGUGGUCUUCCCCCUACAAAUCCCAUUACCCCAGCGUAAUCAUGGGUGAAAAAUCAUACGAAUUGCAACCAAGGAACGUUCCUCAAAAUACCUGACCAGUACUCUUCAAAACUAUCAAGGUCAUCUAAAACAAGGAAAGACUGAGAAACUAUCACAGCCAAGAGAUGCCUGUGGAAAUGUGACAGCUAAAUGAAAUAUUGGUAUCCUAGAUGGGAUCCUGGGAAAAAAGACGGUAUUAAGUAAAAACUAAGGGAAUCUGAAUAAAGUACAGAAUUUAGUUAAUAAAAAUGCAUUAGGAUUGAUUUAUUAGUUGUAACAAAUGUAUCGUACUAAUGUAAGAUGUUAAUAAUAGGGAAAACUGGCUGUAGGUUGUAUGGGAACUCUGUACUGUAGUAUCAGAAGUUCUCUAAAUUGAAAACUAUUCAUGGCUGGGCACAGUGGCUCAUGCCUGUAAUCCCAGCACUUUGGGAGGCUAAGGCAGGAGGAUCACUUGAGAUCAGGAGUUCGAGACCAGCUCGGCCAACAUGGUGAAACCCUGUCUCUACUAAAAAUACAGAAAUUUGGGCCAGGCACGGUGGCUCAAGCCUGUAAUCCCAGCACUUUGGGAGGCUGAGACGGGCGGAUCAUGAGGUCAGGAGAUCGAGACCAUCCUGGCUAACACGGUGAAACCCUGUCUCUACUAAAAACUACAAAAAACUAGCCGGGCGAGGUGGCGGGCGCCUGUAGUCCCAGCUACUCGGGAGGCUGAGGCAGGAGAAUGGCAUGAACCCGGGAGGCGGAGCUUGCAGUGAGCUGAGAUCUGGCCACUGCACUCCAGCCCGGGCAACAGAGCGAGACUCCGUCUCAAAAAAAAAAAAAAAAAAAAAAA